UACGUAGGGCGCAAGCGUUGUCCGGAAUCAUUGGGCGUAAAGCGCGUGUAGGCGGCCUUGUAAGUCCGUUCUGAAAGCCCGGGGCUCAACCCCGGGAGGCGGAUGGAUACUGCAAGGCUCGAGUACGGAAGAGGCGAGUGGAAUUCCCGGUGUAGCGGUGAAAUGCGCAGAUAUCGGGAGGAACACCAAUGGCGAAGGCAGCUCGCUGGGACGUUACUGACGCUGAGACGCGAAAGCGUGGGGAGCAAACAGG
rnacentral:rRNA from 1 species